rnacentral:rRNA from 1 species
CACUCACCGCCCGUCACAUCACCUGAAUCAGUUGCUCCCGAAGUCGCUGGCUGAACCCGUAAGGGACGGAGGCGCCGAAGGAGUGGCCGGUGAGGGGGUG